AUCAGUCUUUCCCCCAUUACACUUAGAAGCUCUAGAGUCAAAAAAAAAUCUUUUUUUUUUCUAAACCAACGAAAACCUAAAUUGUUUUAUUUUCUUCUUUUCUCUUCCUCAUCUCCUUCGCACUUCUUCUUCCUCUCUAGGGUUAAGAGUAGGGAGAAGCCAAGGUUUUGGCUUAGCAGCCAUGAGUGAGACGAGAGAUAAGCAUUACAACGACGUAAUCGACAGGGAGAGAAUGAAUUGAAGCUGUGAUGAAGUCUUUGAGCUUGUCGACAACAAACACUCGUUUGAAGAUCUGGUGACAGGAGUGUGAAGAAGAGUAAAGGCACGACAGAGGCGUCUUUUUCUAUUAAUCUCGCCAAAUUUCUGCAGUUAUGCGAUUUUGGCAAGAUUGAGUACAAGCCAGAAAUUUCGAAUUGGAUCAACCUAAUUGGAUUCGUCGAGCAACCUUUUCAGUUCGGUCCUUGCUCCGAUGGAAAUUUCUGGGCUGGAACUGUGAUUUCUCAGCGUUUGGGUUCAAAGUCAUCUAGUUUCUGAUACAUUUUUUGAAAGCAUGAGUGUGUUGUUGGUAAUUUGUUUGUGUAUUUUCCAUGUUUGAAAUAGUUUUAGUUGGUAAGCACGCCUCUAUUCUAGUGAUUUUCUGACAAGGUUGGAGCUCUUUUGCUCUGUGAUAUCACAUCAGUGGUCUCGUUGUUGCUCAGAAAUGGAAGAAGUACAUGUUUUUAAACAGAGUGGAGCUAAUCACGUAAGAGGAGGUUCUGGAACUGUUUUGUCUGCUCCCAACAAUGCAGAACAGGACAGAGGAGCUUUUAUUGAAGGAGCAGGACUGGACGGAGGAGCUUUGCUUCAAGUUAUACAGAUUCAAGAUGCUUCCAUCUCCCCUGUGAACAAGGGAGUCGCAGAGGAACAGCCUCUCUCCAAGUCUACUUCUGAGGAUGUUGUUUAGCCGGAGAAGUCUAAAGCAGGUACUGUACUAGUGGAUGUAUCCGACUCUGUUGUAGAAAACAACACUCAAUAUGCUGUAGAUGGAACUUCUCAGACAGUGACACUCAAUCCUUUCCCCCACCAACGUUUCUGCCCUUCAGGUUAUUUGUAAGAGUUUGUUGAUUUGUGGUGUUAGUUUAAGAUUUGAAUCGAUGUUAUGUUAGACUUGUUUUGGUUAAUGUUAUGUAAGACUUGUUUUCGUUAAUAUUAUGUAAGACUUGCUUUGGUUAAUGUAAUGUUAAUGAGAUGUAUUAGA